GUUCAGUCAAGGUCUCCGUAACAAGUGGACCGUCCAGUGGCGGCGGUGUCGCCGCCCGGUACACACUCGGAUGACUCAAUAGUAGACCACCGAACCCAGGUAAACCCUUCCUACCUAUAUACCUGUAUAGCGGUCUCCCGCGUUCGGUUCGUCCCUGCGAGCAGCGGUACCGGAAACGGCGUCCGUCGAGUUUGGUGCCACACCCGAGGAAAGGGUCGCGCUGAGGAAAACUGUGCCGGAGACGGCGUUUCGUAGCACCGUGACGCACUGGCGUAUAUAGGUAUUAAACGCCUAUAUAUUAUUGUGUAUUACAGGUCGCGGUAAAGUCACACUGUAAUACGCCUGUACAUAUUAUAUGAUAAUAUUCUUCUAUAACGUUACGUUUUAUGUUGCGACGAAAAAAAAAAACGGAAGACGAGACGACGCGCGGCGUUUGCAACCGUAACUCCGUGAGACCGGAAACGAUCGAUGUGAUAUUAUAAUUGUAAAAUUUUGAAACUGGAACGCCAAAAUAAAAAGGGCAAAACUGGCAUGCGAAUUUAAAUUUGAAUGUAUUGCAUGUAUAAGUGCACAGAUAAUACGACAUGACGUGUAGACGGUA